CCUCGCUAAUUCGUCGUAACACUGCUUUUACGACGAAGUAACGAGGAAAACUGCCCUCGUAAAACUUGUGUUUUCUUGUAGUGAUUGUUUCAUUUUUUAUAAAGCAUAGUAAGCUAGAAGAAUGUCUUUGCAUAUGUUGAUAUGAAGAUCGAAAAAACUGUUGCGGAGAAAUCAAUCACACAAGUACAUGGUUCUUGCUAUUAUUUCCAAUCAGACAAGUAUAUGUCUUGUCAAACAAAGAAGUUGAAUAUACGAAAAUGAAAUCCAAUAAGAAAAUGAACAGAAAGAAGUGGACUAUAAAAGUUCAAGAAUAAAGUUGACUAUAUAUACAUGGAAAAUAUUGGGAUGUUACAUUAGAGCACUUAGUUUUAUGUAGAUAUUUAGUCGAAUCAAAAUCUUGUUUUGAAUGCACAAGUAUAAAUGAUGACAACAACAAACACUCCCCCGUUUAUAUGUAAUUUUACCCCUAAUUAAUAUUAGUUUAUUUGCAUUUGAUCAGAAAAACAAAAGUUUCAGGUAUCUGAAUGGUGACAGUCAGCAAAGCCCAAUGGUGACAGUCAUCACAUAAACAAAAAGUUUCAGAAACACAAGGAAUUUCGUAAGAGCUUUUGGUUCAACCCAUAGGUCUCUCACUCUCCCUGGUUUUAUGCAAAGGCACGCAUCAUUAUGCAUUUAAUACUACUGAACAUGUACAUUGAGUGAGAGAGACGCAUCAAAAGGAGACUGAGACUUAAGCUCUAGGACACACAACUCGCAAUCAUGGCAUGUGGAAGUCAGGGCUCCUACAACGUACUCCCUCCGUUUCUUUUUGUGUGAUGUUUUAGAAUAUAUUUUGUUUCAAUUUAUAUGAUGUUUUGAAACUUUCUAUGUAAACUUAUUAAAGUAAUUAAUUAAAAUAUUAAAAAUUAAUGUAUAGUUAUUGUCUUAUUUGUUUAGAAUAGCAAUGAUUAGUUUUUUUGGUUAUUUUUGUUGUUGUAAUUGAGUACUUUUUGCAAAAGUAUAGUUUUCCUAAUUUGUGUGUUUAUAUAUAACGGAAUCAUAUACUAUGAUGCACACAUCUUAUGUUAGUUAAUUCGGUCUAGAGAGCUGUAAGCAAGUAACCAACCAGUGAACAUGAACGCUUUCAAGACACGACUUGAGAUCGAUUUGGUUUCUUUUGUCUUUUUUUUUGUUUUGUUAAAUGGUUUCUUUAACAUUGCAAAGAAAAUAUGAUGUAGAUGGAGACCUUGAAAGCAACUAAUAUUUUUAUCAUGAGAUAACCUACAAUGAUAUUUGUUUUUUUUUUCCUAAAUGAAACAACAUAAAUUAUUUUUGUAUGGUUGGAAAAAAGAAUUAUUUAUUACAAUUUUUUUCUAUAGAAGAGACAUGGCCAAUGAGGUGUUCAAAAAAAAAAGACAUGACUAAUGUAUCCGGAAAAUAUAAAUUUACAGACAUGUCAAGUAUUUAUCUGGUUUGACAUGACUAAUGUAUUGGUUUGAUUUCAUCUUUUUAAUUAACUGGAUUUGUUUGCUAAAAAAAAAAUAUUAACUGGAUUUGUCGAAAGCUAGUCAGGUGAUAGUAAAUUCGUAACACGUGUCGAGCGCUGAUACAAAAUUGAAGUAAACGGAGUCCGUUAAAAGCAACGUUGCGGCCGUACCUUUAUGCUGAAAGCCGCUAUUUUGGUAUAACCGUAUAUCUAGGAAGAGACCCCUCAUCUCAUAGAUUAGAAAUUCGCGUAAUUAUUACCUACAAAAGAGAACAAAAAAUUGACAGCAAAAUAAUUUUGGCAGACUUAAAGAAUUAAUAGCAUCCAAGUCAAGUGGGAAGAAACUACCUCAGUUUUUCAGAAAAAAAAAAUAUUAAUAUGUUUUUUUUGAGCAAAACAAAAUAAUCUUUAUGAUCACAUAAUUAUGUUUUGUUUUUGUAAUAAUAAAUGUGACCAUCGAUUUUAUGCCUUGUAUAAACUGGGUCUCUUACACUUGUGUCAUACUGUUUCUUAAGAAAAAAGAAAAAAUAUAGAGAUUUGAUAUUUUCAUCUCUAAAUAUAAAGAUAAAAAUUAGAAUUUCUCUAUAUUUUCCUCUAAAAAAAGGAACUCUAUUAUAGAAACAUACAUUGAAACAAAUCCACCUCUAUAAUAAAGAUCUAUAUUUUAGAAGAAAAUAUAGAGAUAUACAUUGGAAAUGCUCUAUUUAGAGAUGGAAAUAGCAAAUCUCUAUAUUUUCCCCUAUAAAUAGAGGAACUCUAUUAUAGAAUAGAUGCAUACAUUGGAGCAAAUCCACUUCUACAAUAAAAUUUCUCUGUUUUAAAGGAAAAUAUAGAGAUAAAAUAGAGGUUGGUUGGAGAUGGUCUAAGAAGCUCCUUAAAUAUCCCCACUAAUGAUAGCCUAAGUCAUCGGUGGUCUUCAAAAUUUCUCCCAUAUGCCAUAUCAUACAAUGCCGAAAAAGGUAUCAAAAAUAAUAUUUAAUCGCAUAUCAACUCUAUAUUUACUUGCAUUACAUGUGUUGUGGAUUUUGGUAUGUUUCUGAUAAAUAAUACCCUUGAUUAAACGAGUAUCAUGGGGAACACUUUUUGCAAGCUUCAUUUACAAUGCAUGUAAGAACAGGGAAGAAAAAAUAAGAGAGGAGCAGAGAGGAAGAGAUCGAGAGGUCAAAUCACUGAAGUCAACAUCACAUCGCUUCACAUGCAAUAAAACACACCAUUGUCUUGUCUUGUCAUAUAUCAUUUUGCAUCCCAACAAAAAUUUAAGAAAUAAUUACACUCAGAUGCACUUAUACUCAGAUACUUUGGACUAUCAGAGAUAUCUUCUCGUCACUCUGACUCAUCGUUCUCAACAUCGUUACCUCACCUAUAGCCAUCAUGGGAAACCCGAGCGCAGUGUUUGGCUCUGUCGCAAGAGGUAGAAGCAUCAAUGGCAUGUUUUUGUUUUUUGCAAGUUGAGUCUCUUCAGUUACAAAAAAAAAAAAAGUUGAGUCUCUUACAUUUUGUUUAUUUUUGCUUUAAACCCAAGUUAUUCAAUUGUAAAAUUGUCUCCUCUAACUAACUUCUAACUUUUUGUUUGUUUAUUCCAGCUUUUCUUCAUAUUGCCUGAAUUAUCUUUUGUCUUUUGCUUGCUUUCAUUUUUGCCCCAAUACUAUCACAUUAAACAAAAUUCUCUUUAAUUUCGCCUCAACCUUACCAGUUGUACACUCUAACCCUUGUUAAUGCAAUUAAACACAUAUAUGAACUAAACACACUUACGUAAUUAUUACAACUACGUAACAAAAAAUAUUAUAAUUUGGAGAGUGUCCUAUAUACUCAUGUACCCACGUAAAAAUGUACACAUGUACAUACGUAAACUUGUACACACAUAAACAUAUACAUACAUACACAUGUAUGAACAAUUAGUAAAUCUUGAUAAAUACUCCAUCCGUUUCAUAAUAAAUAUCGUUUAAAGUUUUUACACACAACUUAAGAAAAUUGUUACCCUUACUUAAUAUAAUUUUCGUUUGGUUUUAUUAAUUAAUGAAUUAAAAUAAGGACAAAAAUAAAAAAAAAUUGUUUAAUAUAUGCAUUGAAAAUUU